CUGAAACCUUGUUUGACCAUUGAUGGU
rnacentral:misc_RNA from 1 species